rnacentral:rRNA from 2 species
UCGUCACACUAUCAUUAACUGAAUCCAUAGGUUAAUGAGGCGAACCGGGGGAACUGAAACAUCUAAGUACCCCGAGGAAAAGAAAUCAACCGAGAUUCCCCCAGUAGCGGCGAGCGAACGGGGAGGAGCCCAGAGCCUGAAUCAGCAUGUGUGUUAGUGGAAGCGUCUGGAAAGGCGCGCGAUACAGGGUGACAGCCCCGUACACAAAAGCGCAUGUGCUGUGAGCUCGAUGAGUAGGGCGGGACACGUGGUAUCCUGUCUGAAUAUGGGGGGACCAUCCUCCAAGGCUAAAUACUCCUGACUGACCGAUAGUGAACCAGUACCGUGAGGGAAAGGCGAAAAGAACCCCGGCGAGGGGAGUGAAAAAGAACCUGAAACCGUGUACGUACAAGCAGUGGGAGCACCCUUUGGGUGUGACUGCGUACCUUUUGUAUAAUGGGUCAGCGACUUAUAUUCUGUAGCAAGGUUAACCGAAUAGGGGAGCCGGAGGGAAACCGAGUCUUAACCGGGCGUUAAGUUGCAGGGUAUAGACCCGAAACCCGGUGAUCUAGCCAUGGGCAGGUUGAAGGUUGGGUAACACUAACUGGAGGACCGAACCGACUAAUGUUGAAAAAUUAGCGGAUGACCUGUGGCUGGGGGUGAAAGGCCAAUCAAACCGGGAGAUAGCUGGUUCUCCCCGAAAGCUAUUUAGGUAGCGCCUCGUGAAUUCAUCUCCGGGGGUAGAGCACUGUUUCGGCUAGGGGGCCAUCCCGGCUUACCAACCCGAUGCAAACUGCGAAUACCGGAGAAUGUUAUCACGGGAGACACACGGCGGGUGCUAACGUCCGUCGUGAAGAGGGAAACAACCCAGACCGCCAGCUAAGGUCCCAAAGUCAUGGUUAAGUGGGAAACGAUGUGGGAAGGCCCAGACAGCCAGGAUGUUGGCUUAGAAGCAGCCAUCAUUUAAAGAAAGCGUAAUAGCUCACUGGUCGAGUCGGCCUGCGCGGAAGAUGUAACGGGGCUAAACCAUGCACCGAAGCUGCGGCAGCGACACUGUGUGUUGUUGGGUAGGGGAGCGUUCUGUAAGCCUGUGAAGGUGUGUCGUGAGGC